rnacentral:rRNA from 1 species
GAUGAACGCUAGCGGCGUGCCUAAUACAUGCAAGUUGAGCGAACAGACGAGGAGCUUGCUCCUCUGACGUUAGCGGCGGACGGGUGAGUAACACGUGGAUAACCUACCUAUCAGACUGGGAUAACUUCGGGAAACCGGAGCUAAUACCGGAUAAUAUAUUGAACCGCAUGGUUCAAUAGUGAAAGACGGUUUUGCUGUCACUUAUAGAUGGAUCCGCGCCGCAUUAGCUAGUUGGUAAGGUAACGGCUUACUAAGGCAACGAUGCGUAGCCGACCUGAGAGGGUGAUCGGCCACACUGGAACUGAGACACGGUCCAGACUCCUACGGGAGGCAGCAGUAGGGAAUCUUCCGCAAUGGGCGAAAGCCUGACGGAGCAACGCCGCGUGAGUGAUGAAGGUCUUCGGAUCGUAAAACUCUGUUAUUAGGGAAGAACAAAUGUGUAAGUAACUAUGCACGUCUUGACGGUACCUAAUCAGAAAGCCACGGCUAACUACGUG